CCAACAGCACACCAUACGAACACUAGAAAAAGUGUUCUAGACUGUAAAACCAAAUAGUAUUCCUUGCUAUAAAAAUACUAGUAAGUUUACUCUAUUUUAACCAAAAUGUUGAGUUUACUAAUUUUUUUUUCAUUGCUGAAAUAUUACAACAGAUAGUUCCCAUAACUAAUGAAAUUUAAGUAAAAUUACUCAAAAUGUCCAAGACAUGCUGUUACGCAUGCGCACUGGGCGACAAUUGCCCCUCCCCCACGUCGCAGAAGCACAACGGCUGAAGACUCAACGUGUGUUUGCAGAGGAUCUAUUUCGGUAAAAUCAAGAUCGAUCAUCUUGAUAAAACCUCAGUAUAUCAUCAGGAGCAACAGGCCACAUAUUCAGCUAAAAAUCUUCUUUGCUGUUCUGCUGAAGAAAAAUACUCAUGAACAUCUUGGGUGGCGUAAGGAUCUUUGCAGGAUUCAGUCGCAUAUCUCGGAUCUGAGUUCUGCGCAGCACUGGACACAGACUCUGCACUUUUGACAUUUUCUAGAAAAAAGGAUUUUAAAUUUCACAUCAAGUUAAUUAAAAGUCAUCUGAUGUUUCCACUGCAGUACUUCAGGGCCUUUCAGUCAUCCUGGAGGAUGACCCACAGGAAUUUUACAGGAUGUGUUUCGAUGUGGAUGCAGACUUCAGUCAAGCAGUUGUAGACCUGCUCACAGUUCUACCAGAGGACAUGCCCUCAUUGUGGAUGCAAUAAAGGCAAUCAUGGAGGGAAGAAUUGUCAUGAAUGGGUUUUAAA